UUUCCUUCGCAGUGUUUGGAGACGGCUGUCUUGUCAUUUUUAUAUUCCUUUGAAACGUGUGUUUGCUGUGUUAGCGAUAUCUUCAUGGACUAAGAAAAUAAACUCCAUUGACAGCAGAGUGUUGAGCGUGCGUCUGAGUCUUGCCAAGCUCUCUUGUUCAUCAUGGUGACCAUGUUGGUGGGAAAGGCAAGAAGACCUUUGCCUGUAACUUUUACGAGUACCGAUCGCAAAAAUAGGCUGUCAUGGUGAACCAUCGGCGCACCCACACAGGGGAACGACCAUUUACUUGCUAUCUCUGUCCUGCACGGUUUGCUCAAAAGGCCUGCCUGAUUUGACAUGUGCGCGUGCAUACCGGAGAAAAGCCUUACAAGUGCCGUUUCUGUGGGCUCACCUUCUUCAGAGGCUACACACGUGACAGACAUGAGUAUAGCCAUCACAGUGCAUAAUUUUACAGCUUCUUAUUGGUGACGAAAUGUCGAAACCAUAAGCGCACACGCAAGACACGAAAAGUGUAGUGAUGGGCGGCCGCCCUCCCCUAAUUGCCUGAAGGGGGUGCCAAGUCUGCCUCAUACCUUUACUCAAUCAAAUCUGACCCAUCACUGUUUAGCAGCCAAAGACCCCAAAUGUAGAAUUCAAAGAAUGGUUUGCCCUUGACCUUUAUUUCCGGAAAUCGGGAGACCAGGGCCGGCACGUGAGGAAGACGUCAGAGUCUCAUUUUCAAUAGUGCAUCACUUGUGAAGUUUGUUCUGAACUCUACCAAAGUCGAGGGACGGGGACGGGUGCACAGCAGUAAAACAUGGCAUGCCCUAUGGCAAAUGUUGACUGUUCUGUGAUGAAAAUAAAACAAGUCAAUCAUAAUUAUAUUUCGAACGUACAUUUUCUAAGAAAGUGAAACACAUUUGCCAUCCUUGUAAAUGUGACCCCACAAACUUCAAUAUUUAUGUCUAUACAUAUUAUUUCAUCUUUGUACCAAUUUAACUUGUGUGCUUGCACAUUGCUGACCAUGUCGCAACAUCUUGGCUUUCCAGCUCUUUGAAACCUAAUGCAUAGUGUAUUGUAGAGUGUGUACUUAUCUUCUAUAUUUAAGGGAUGCUAUGAAUCAUUGACUGUGUUGUCAGCUUAUUCACCUUCAGCUGUCUUCGUGUUCGAUUUUCCAUACCUUGGUUGUUUUUUCUAGACUUGCAUAGCUAUAUUUUAUUGCUGUUUUUUUUUUCAUUUUUUUACAUACCCUAAGGACCCGGAAGGGCAUCACAUAGGGGGGGGAUUAAGAAGAUUUUCAACAUGUGUACAAUACAUUAAAUUAGUAGGAAGGAGAGCCCAGUUUUGUUGCCAGGUGAAUAAGUUUACUUUGUCUUAUAAAAUGGCACUGCUUUACAUUAGAGCUCUGUGUACAUUCAUAAUUACUUUAAAUGGCAAAUAAAAUUACGGGAUACCUUUCAGGGUUAUCGCUCUCAGUGAGUGCCUAUUGUGUGAGGGAGCAGAUGUGGACAUUGUUGAGCAUCCUCAUGGAGACUUCUUGUCCAUGUUAGUUACAGCAUUUGUUGGGGCAGUAAGUGUUGAAACCAUGCCAUGCAAGUACAGUGAAACUUUGACGAAGUUUGUUGCCAACCACAGAUCAAAACAAUUGAAUUUAAAAUCAAGAAAAGGCGAAGUGGUUGUAAAAUAUACUGCUUGAAUAUGUGCCCCCCUAUGUUCCUGGUCAGUCAGACGUGUCACCACUAUUACCACUGUGUUCCUUUCAUUUCGUGUUGUUUCCUUCUGAAGGGGCAGUUAAAGCAAAUAUUAAACUGACAAUAGUUGUUCAAAUAGCAUUCUAGAUUACUCAUAGUGCUUGUUCAGUGUCAAGGAAAUGUUUAAUUUGAAAAUAAAUAAACUCAUGUUUUAGUGA
rnacentral:lncRNA from 1 species